CAACUGUUAAUAUUAUUCGAUUUUGCAGUGAGUUGUAUUUAUGUUUUUAUUCAUCUACUUGAGUUUCACUUUAUUCAAAAUUAGAAAAUUACAUUAUAUAUGGUGUUUUUAGCGAGCAACCUUUUCGUGGUAGAUUGAAACUAAAGUACUCGUAAGUAAACUAAAUUCAGGCUUAUAUAGUUUGCCCAUCGCGGGUUACUAAU